GAUUAACAAUUAAACUUACGCUGCCCCGAUCCACUACACUGGCCGUGAAGUAUUACUCUGCCCCGAGUUUCUACACAACCAAUGCGACGGAGCAUCACUACGCAUGCUGCCCCAUCCUACUACACCCAGGCUCCCUGCUGCUAAACCGAGGCUCCCGCUGAUUACUCCACCCAAACGGUCGAGUACUACACCGAAGCGGAAAAGUACUACUCUGCCCUGAUCUACACAGCCACAACUGAGGCGGUUAAGUAUUACGCUGUCCCGGCUUACUACACAGAAGCUGCUCUUUCGUACUACGUUGAACAGAAGAACUACACUGAUGCUCCAGUUCACAACAUCACGACCUACGCUACACCACAGCCCCCAAGUACUACACUGAAGAAGCCCCCUAUUACACAACAACGUGUGCUGCCUAGUUUACUACACCAAGGCUCCCAAGCACUACAUCACUAAGGCACCGGAAUUCUACACGUCUGUAUGUGUGCUGCCCCUGCCUACUACACCGACGCCCCGCAUUACUGCAACACUGAAACGCUCAAGUAGCCUACUGCACUACAACCUACGCUGCCCCGAGCUACUACACUUACGUCCCGAAGUAUUACUGUGCGUAAAAGGAGUCGUCUAAAAAAAAAAGAAGUCGUGCCCGAACUGCAGUCUGUCAUCAACUGCAUUCCUCAUCGUGUAACCGAUUCGCAAUUAUGGUCAAUGAUUAUGGCGUCGUGUUCCUGUUGGGUGUUGUAUCGUUGAUGGCUGGGUCGACCGCUGGUGUACUGAUGUCUCCUCGGUAUGGCGGAAACCAAACCGCAACGCCGCCGCCUUCCUACACAACUUACGCAACGACCAGUGCCUGCACCGAGGUCUUCAAGUACUACACCAUUAAAGCACCGGAGUUUUAUACCACAACUUACGCUGCCCCGAGCCACUACGCUGACGCCCUGAAGUAUUACUCUGUCCUUGGUUACUACACCAUCUAGGCGACGGAGUACUACAUGUCUACGUAUGCUGCCCCAUCCUACUACGCCGAGGCUUCUAACUGCUACACCGAGGCUCACGCUGAUUACUCCACCCAAACGGUCGAAUACUACACCGAAGUGGCAAAGUACUUCUCUGCCCUGAUCUACACAACCACAGCUGAGGCGGCCAAGUAUUACGCAGUCCCGAGUUGCUAC